ACAAGUACCGUGAGGGAAAGUUGAAAAGCACUUUGAAAAGAGAGUGCAAGAGAACGUGAAAUCGAUGCAAUGGAAGCGGAUGAAGUCGCCGUAUCUAGCGCGUAUUCAGUUGUUGUUGGCCGGGAUCACGAUUGGGUCAUUCCGCAAGGUUGGCUCGGUUGUGUUGUCUUGGUUGGCGGCGAUGCAUUUGCGUGCAGAGUGCAACGGGUCGUUGAGGAGCGUGGAACGGAGUACGGUUUAGAGGACCAACCUUUGGUUGGAAACCUGAAUUGUGCCGAGAGCCAUUGAUCUUCUUCGGUUUGUUCGGUUCAUGGCCUACGACUCGGCUGUAUCUGUUUUAUGGGGUACUUGUUUAACGCGUGCGUUCGACUCGUAUGCUGUGGAAUGGGUGUGGUCGGUGUCACUUGAACCAUCUCGUUGUAUUGGCGAUCACUUAUCCGACCCGUCUUGAAACACGGACCAAGGAGUUUAUAUUACACGCGAUUUAUUGAGUGUUGAAACUCAAAAGAGUAAUGAAAGUGAAUAACUGUUUUCGGACAGCAACGUGAUUGUUGGCUCAUUCGUGGGCCGGCACGCAACGUUGCCCCAUUCCAGAGGCUUGCCUCGGGGUGGAGGUUGAGCGUGUGAAAUGAGACCCGAAAGAUGGUGAACUAUGCCUGAACAGGAUGAAGCCAGAGGAAACUCUGGUGGAAGUCCGAAGCGGUUCUGACGUGCAAAUCGAUCGUCUGAUUUUGGUAUAGGGGCGAAAGACUAAUCGAACCAUCUAGUAGCUGGUUCCUUCCGA
rnacentral:rRNA from 1 species